rnacentral:lncRNA from 1 species
CGAGGGCCCCUCCCCCCAUCCGAUCUUUAAGUAAUCGGGCCUUCGACUUUGCUCAUGUUAGGACGAGGUUCUCCUCCUAUUCCUAACAAGACUGUGGGGGCACAUAAGGGCCGUUGCAAGGGCCUCUCCCCUCAUCCAGUCUUUAAGUAAUCGGGCCUUCGACUUUGCUCAUGUUAGGACAAGGUUCUCCUCUUGUUCCUAACAAGGCUGUGGGGGCACAUAAGGGCCAUUGCUAGGGCCUCUCCCCCCAUCCGAUCUUUAAGUAACUGGGCCUUCGACAUUGCUUAUGUUAGGACAAGGUUCUCCUCCUGUUCCUAACAAGGCUGUGGGGGCACAUAAGGGCCGUUGCUAGGGCCUCUCCCACCAUCCGGUCUUUAGGUAACCGGACCUUCAAUUUUGCUCNUGUUNNN